CCGGUAAAAGCCGGAGGAAGGUGAGGAUGAUGUCAAGUCAGCAUGACCUUUAUAUCCAGGGCUACACACACGCUACAAUGGUCUGUACAAUUGGUUGCCAAGCCGCGAGGCGGAGCCAAUCCUGAAAGCAGGCCUCAGUUCAGAUUGCAGUCUGCAACUCGACUGCAUGAAGCCGGAGUUGCUAGUAACCGCAGGUCAGCAAUACUGCGGUGAAUACGUUCCCGGGUCUU
rnacentral:rRNA from 1 species